UACGUAGGGUGCGAGCGUUAAUCGGAAUUACUGGGCGUAAAGCGUGCGCAGGCGGUCAUGCAAGACAGAUGUGAAAUCCCUGGGCUCAACCUGGGAACUGCAUAUGUGACUGUAUGGCUGGAGUACGGCAGAGGGGGAUGGAAUUCCGCGUGUAGCAGUGAAAUGCGUAGAUAUGCGGAGGAACACCGAUGGCGAAGGCAAUCCCCUGGGCCUGUACUGACGCUCAAGCACGAAAGCGUGGGGAGCAAACAGG
rnacentral:rRNA from 1 species